rnacentral:rRNA from 1 species
UACGGAGGGUGCAAGCGUUAUCCGGAUUCACUGGGUUUAAAGGGUGCGUAGGCGGCCAGGUGCGUCAGUGGUGAAAUCUCUGGGCUUAACUCAGAAACUGCCGUUGAUACUAUUUGUCUUGAAUAUCUUGGAGGUAAGCGGAAUAUGUCAUGUAGCGGUGAAAUGCUUAGAUAUGACAUAGAACACCGAUAGCGAAGGCAGCUUACUACAGGAAGAUUGACGCUGAGGCACGAAAGCGUGGGGAGCAAACAGG